rnacentral:rRNA from 1 species
CCUACGGGUGGCAGCAGUGAGGAAUAUUGGUCAAUGGGCGGAAGCCUGAACCAGCCAAGUAGCGUGCAGGAUGACGGCCCUACGGGUUGUAAACUGCUUUUAUACGGGAAUAACGCGCCUUACGUGUAGGGCUUUGCAUGUACCGUAUGAAUAAGGACCGGCUAAUUCCGUGCCAGCAGCCGCGGUAAUACGGAAGGUCCGGGCGUUAUCCGGAUUUAUUGGGUUUAAAGGGAGCGUAGGCCGCAUGUCAAGCGUGCUGUGAAAUGUCCGGGCUCAACCCGGGCCUUGCAGCGCGAACUGGCGUGCUUGAGGCCGCGGAAGGCAGGAGGAAUUCGUGGGGUAGCGGUGAAAGGCGUAGAUAUGACGAAGAACCCCGAUGGCGAAGGCAGCUUGCUGGAGCGGAACUGACGCUGAUGCUCGAAAGCGCGGGUAUCGAACAGGAUUAGAUACCCGAGUAGUC